rnacentral:tRNA from 1 species
AUGUACGGUGAUUCUAAAAACAAUCCG